UAUUGGCAGAAGACCGAGUUGCAUGAGAGUGAAUGACGCUUUGCUUAACAAAAUAGCCGGAGAAUGCAGCCGGCAGUUUUUUAUUAUGAUGUUGGUGCAUAAUUUUCAGCACUUCAGUUUUAUAAAUAUCUGCAUUUUUAAGUAUUUUCAUCUUAUAAUAGUAGGAUUCUAAAUUGCACCGAGGUCCGGCGUGUGUAAGAGCACGGAUUGCCCUGUUUUGCAUGACUUCAAUACGAUGCAGUAACAUUUUGCUUGCUGAACCCCAGGCCGCAAUGCCAUAUUGGAUAUGGGACUGGAACAGAGCAUAAUAAACCAUACGUAAAGUUGACACUGAGGUGUAUGAUCGAAGUUUAUACAACAUUCCUACCGCCUUAGAUAAUUUAACGUAUUCACUCUGGAUUGAAGCACAACAUGAGACUUAUCACUAUCGAGAAGGUUCGUAUCGUCAGCGAAUAAUUUGGAAAAUAGAGUGGAGCUACGUGCAAGAUCAUUAAUAUAAAUUAAGAACAGAGCCGGACCCAAGGACGAACCCUGGGGAACCCCAUGGGUCACAGAUUUGAAGAUUGGAAUUACUCUGGCAAUUUUCAGUGAAGAUGGAAAUAUCCCCAAUCGAAGUGAAUUAUUAAAAAACUCAGUUAUACAAGGUGCUAUGAUGUCUGCCACAUACUUAAGGAAACGACUGGGAAUGUUGUCAGCGCCAACCGCUUUACCCUCAUUGAGGCAUACUAUUUCCAUGGUCAGUUCAUUCACUGUUGCAGGACUUAAGAAUAUGGAUUGAUUUACACGCUUGCUUAGAAAUAUUUUAAAGCCAUCCAUAUCAUUGGAGAAUUUAGUACCAAGGUUGGACCCAACAGUGGAAAAAUAUUUAUUGAAUUCUUGUGCAAUCAAGGACUUAUCUUUAAUGGUUCUGCCAUUUUCCAAAUCAAUUUCAUUAACACUUUUGGUUUUUUUAUUUUUAGUAGAUGCUAUUUGAUUAACAAUUCGCCAAGUACACUUGGGGUUGCCUUUGUUUUGGGCAAUCAAUUUUUGAAAAUACAUUUGUUUAGCAUCUUCAA